rnacentral:lncRNA from 1 species
GGGUGGCGAAGUAUGUCACGGAGGGACGACGAUUUUGGAACACGCGUGAAGACCAGGAAACCAACACUUCAUGGUGCUGUGAUGGCCUGGAACUCAGAUCAGUGCAACUGAGUUCCCUAUGUGCUUCCUCCAAUGUUUUCUCUGAAGGUCAAUAUGAACACAACUCCAAAUACUUUAGCUCUGCUCCAGAACUUUCUAUAACCACUGCUUCCAUCUGGGUUCUUUUUUGCUCUACCUGUUAGCUGGCCGGCCAUCUUAACCCCAAUGGGCAUGAGCUUCCAGUUUUUGUCUACCUCAGUCUCUGAAAUAAAGUUUAAAAUGUAAAUUUAAAAAUUAGUACU